rnacentral:rRNA from 1 species
UCAGCUUGGUAAGGAUACCCCCUGAAUUUAAGCAUAUAAUUAAGGGGAGGAAAAGAAACUAACAAGGAUUCCUUUAGUAACGGCGAGUGAAACAGGAUGAGCUCACCUAUAAUCGGCAAUUUUUUGCCGAGUUGUGGUCUGUAGAAGCAUUGUCGGUCGAGGUUCCGGGCUAAGUCUCUUGGAAAAGAGCAGCUGAGAGGGUGACACUCCCGUUCUUGCCUGGGAUCUGCGAUCAUAGCACAUGCCUUCAACGAGUCGAGUUGCUUGGGAUUGCAGCUCAAAUGCGUGGUAUACUCCAUGUAAAGCUAAAUAUAGGUAGGAAACCGAUAGCGCACAAGUACUGUGAAGGAAAGAUGCAAAGAACUUUGAAAAGAGAGUUAAA